rnacentral:sRNA from 1 species
UUCAUCAUUCGCUUGGA